CUGUCUCCCUAAAGCGCGGGUCUUGACGGGAGGGCGGGGAACGGGCUGGCGAUACAGUAGCUGGAGGUCCAGCGGGGAGGACGGUUGUCUUUGACCACAUGCAACCACUUUGAAAUCAGUUCUGGUUACAGUUUGAACUUCAUUCAUACCGUGGGUGGGUGAGAUGUAACCAUGACAACUGAGAAGGAAGUACGUGGAUGACAUUGGCAGCGGUAGACGACAGCGUGGUCAGCGACAACAAAAUGAUGCUGUACCGGUUGUUACGGAUGGCGAAGUGUGCAGCAAGGCUAGACCACUGGACUAUAUACAAAUACACCACAUUGCGUUACGUGGAUCCCUUAUUGAACGACUGCUAUCAGCAUGUUUAUGAAUUAUGGAAACACACAGAGCAGCUUUCAAAUUACAAGGCUUCGCGCGGACCUCAUAGAAGACAAGUUCCACUAAGGCGGACUGCGCGGACGUCGGAGGGAGACAACUUCGACAGAGGACGGUCGCGCGGACGUCGGAGAGGACAGAAUCAGCUUCAUGCUAACAAAUGUCGCAUGUCUGUUGCUGUGUCACGAUACAAGAAGGAUAAAGUAAUUUCUUGUGCGUGUCACAGUAACAAAACAUGGUCAUAUAGAACUUCUGAAGUGAAACUAUAACAUAUAAAAACCCACCGAAUUUGUCAGUAAUAUUUUUUUAUAAGUAACUCGUCACGACGAUAUUCCUAGAUUAGCAGAUAGUUAUAUGUGUGUGUGUGUGUGUGUUUCAACACAAAACGGGAUAGUCUUUGAUGCUGCGUAUUCUUGUAAAUGUGUACCUUAGAAAUAUAUAUUCUGAACUUUAAUCACAUUUAUUUGUUUGACUCUACUCUCGUGAAAAGCACACAAUGAUGGCUAGGCACGCUUCACGAAAACGUUUUGUUUAAUCGUAAGUAAAGCUUGCGCUUAGUGACGUCAUCAAGACUACUGUAUUCAGCUGGUGCAUCUACGGAAUCUAUACCAAUAUCACAAGCUUAACAGCUAGCAUAAUUCCUGGGUUGAAACCAAUUAGUGGUAGAACGGUACGCAACCGGUCGAGGGAAUACAACACCAAGUGCAACAAACAUUUGAGCUGGCGAGAUGACACCCAAACUGCACAGGCAGUGCGCUGUAUGUACUGAGUACUUGCAGACUUAGGUCUACCCCUUUCAUUUUCACCCUUGAAGAAAUCACAGACUUUGUAAAUUAUAGACUUUUCGUCGAGAGCAAAUUUCAUUUUCUCUCACUUAGUCAAUCAGCAGUAAUCACAUGUCACUGACGGCACUAAUGCACGUGGAUCUCGCUUUUCGAGCUCUUCCUUUAGUUGUCAUUGCUCCCUUGUCAUAAACUGGGAAAACGCACAAAUAAAUGAUGACAGUUUCUUAAA